ensembl:lncRNA
AGUGCAUCCUCUGUAGUGAAUGGGUGCCGUCACAAGAAAAUACUACAUAAUAACACUUCCUCCAGUGAAAAAGUGUUCUGGUGUGAAUCAGGAGAGAAAUCUGCACAGAUCAAGCAGUGUUUAAACAGAUCUAAACAAAUAUGUGUCUGGAUUUUGAUGUGAGAGACAACAGGAGAUGCACUUUUUCACUGGAGGAAGUGUUAUUAUGGAUUAUAGACUCUAUGUAUUUGAGUUAAAAACGUCUUAAUGCUGGAUGUGUUUCAUCUUUUGUCUUCUCCAGAUGUUAACUGAUGGACUGGAGUGCUGUGGAUUACUUGUGGAUUAUUGUGAUGUUUUUAUCAGCUGUUUGGACUCUCAUUCUGACGGCACCCAUUCACUGCAGAGCAUCCAUUGCUCAGACACUGAUGCAGUGCGACAUUUCUACAAACCUGAUGAAGAAACAAACUCAUCCUGAUCUCGGAUGAUCUGAGGGUGAGCACAUACUCAUUUUAGGCUCUCUGUCAGGUAAACAACAGGUGGAGAGCGUUCACCUUGACUCCUGCAGCCAGACUGUUUGUCACCCAUCUGCCACAUUUCAGAUCAUCACUUCUGUCUGUCUGUGUGUCAGUCUGUGUGUGUGUGUGUGUGUGUGUGUGUGUGUGUGUGUGUGUGUGGUCCAGCUGCACACUCUCAGCAGUGUGAUGGAGGUGUUUUUAUGCUGGUUUUGCUGUGGUU